GUGCUGUCUUUAGCAGCACAUAUACUUAAAUUGGAAUGAAACAGAAAAAAUUAGCAUGACCCCUGAUCAAAGACAAUGUGCAAAUUUGCAAAAUGAUUAAGAAUGUA